GGGUUGUGAGGUUAAGCGACUAAGCGUACACGGUGGAUGCCCUGGCAGUCAGAGGCGAUGAAGGACGUGCUAAUCUGCGAUAAGCGUCGGUAAGGUGAUAUGAACCGUUAUAACCGGCGAUUUCCGAAUGGGGAAACCCAGUGUGUUUCGACACACUAUCAUUAACUGAAUCCAUAGGUUAAUGAGGCGAACCGGGGGAACUGAAACAUCUAAGUACCCCGAGGAAAAGAAAUCAACCGAGAUUCCCCCAGUAGCGGCGAGCGAACGGGGAGCAGCCCAGAGCCUGAAUCAGUGUGUGUGUUAGUGGAAGCGUCUGGAAAGGCGCGCGAUACAGGGUGACAGCCCCGUACACAAAAAUGCACAUGCUGUGAGCUCGAUGAGUAGGGCGGGACACGUGGUAUCCUGUCUGAAUAUGGGGGGACCAUCCUCCAAGGCUAAAUACUCCUGACUGACCGAUAGUGAACCAGUACCGUGAGGGAAAGGCGAAAAGAACCCCGGCGAGGGGAGUGAAAAAGAACCUGAAACCGUGUACGUACAAGCAGUGGGAGCACGCUUAGGCGUGUGACUGCGUACCUUUUGUAUAAUGGGUCAGCGACUUAUAUUCUGUAGCAAGGUUAACCGAAUAGGGGAGCCGAAGGGAAACCGAGUCUUAACUGGGCGUUAAGUUGCAGGGUAUAGACCCGAAACCCGGUGAUCUAGCCAUGGGCAGGUUGAAGGUUGGGUAACACUAACUGGAGGACCGAACCGACUAAUGUUGAAAAAUUAGCGGAUGACUUGUGGCUGGGGGUGAAAGGCCAAUCAAACCGGGAGAUAGCUGGUUCUCCCCGAAAGCUAUUUAGGUAGCGCCUCGUGAAUUCAUCUCCGGGGGUAGAGCACUGUUUCGGCAAGGGGGUCAUCCCGACUUACCAACCCGAUGC
rnacentral:rRNA from 1 species